GGAAGUUACUGUGCUGGCUGAGGUCAGUGAUCCUGAAUAACAAGGAGAAACUGAACAACGACUCCACAGUACAGAUUCCUUCUAGAGUCACUCUGAUUGCAUUAAUAUGCUAAUAUUAAUGACUGGCCAAUAUUCUCUAUAGUUUGUUGAGCUUUAUUCCCCAAGAAUAUUAUGGCCUGCGAAUUGCAGUAAUUUCAGCAACUGUGAACAUCCCACGGAGAAUAUGAACUGGAACAUUUUUUAGAUCAGCAUAAAGCGUGGAAAAUAAACACCACUCAGAGGAUUUCCUCUCAGGUUGCUUUUUGGAACCCAGCCCUUAUGCUAUCAGGACUCUGCAGCAACGAGAAGAAGAGGCCACUGAAAGAGAAUCCAGCCUCUCUGGUCAACAGCAGUAGCUUAACCCUCCGUCAAGCCUACGGUUGGAUACGAUUGCCCUGAAGUCCCAUCUAAGUCCACAUGGAACAGAACAGUCCAGUAAGCCCACAUGAGGCUGAC
rnacentral:lncRNA from 10 species